rnacentral:rRNA from 1 species
AGAGUUUGAUCCUGGCUCAGAUUGAACGCUGGCGGCAUGCCUUACACAUGCAAGUCGAACGGUAACGGGCCUUCGGGUGCCGACGAGUGGCGAACGGGUGAGUAAUGCAUCGGAACGUACCUUUCAGUGGGGGAUAACGUAGCGAAAGUUACGCUAAUACCGCAUAUUCUGUGAGCAGGAAAGCAGGGGAUCGCAAGACCUUGCGCUGAUUGAGCGGCCGAUGUCAGAUUAGCUAGUUGGUGAGGUAAAGGCUCACCAAGGCGACGAUCUGUAGCGGGUCUGAGAGGAUGAUCCGCCACACUGGAACUGAGACACGGUCCAGACUCCUACGGGAGGCAGCAGUGGGGAAUUUUGGACAAUGGGGCAACCCUGAUCCAGCCAUGCCGCGUGAGUGAAGAAGGCCUUCGGGUUGUAAAGCUCUUUCGGCCGGGAAGAAAUCGUAUGGGCUAAUACCCUGUGCGGAUGACGGUACCGGCAUAAGAAGCACCGGCUAACUACGUG